rnacentral:rRNA from 1 species
UUCGGAUCGCAGUCUGCAACUCGACUGCGUGAAGCUGGAAUCGCUAGUAAUCGCGCAUCAGCCAUGGCGCGGUGAAUACGUUCCCGGGCCUUGUACACACCGCCCGUCAAGCCAUGGAAGUCUGGGGGACCUGAAAAACGGUAACCGCAAGGAGCCGUUAAGGGUAAAACAGGUAACUAGGGCUAAGUCGUAACAAGGUAUC